rnacentral:rRNA from 1 species
GGUGGAGCGAUUUGUCUGGUUUAUUCCGAUAACGAGCGAGACUCUAGCCUACUAAAUAGUGACCGGAUAGCUUCGUCCGGGUCACUUCUUAGAGGGACAAGCGGUGUUCAGCCGCAAUAAGUUGAGCAAUAACAGGUCUGUGAUGCCCUUAGAUGUCCGGGGCUGCACGCGCGCUACACUGGAGGAAUCAGCGUGCUUGACCCAUUGCCGAAAGGCAUUGGUAAACCCUUGAAAAUCCUCCGUGAUCGGGAUCGGGAAUUGCAAUUAUUUCCCUUGAACGAGGAAUUCCCAGUAAGUGUGAGUCAUCAGCUCACGUUGAAUACGUCCCUGCCCUUUGUAC